rnacentral:rRNA from 1 species
CCUACGGGUGGCUGCAGUGGGGAAUAUUGGACAAUGGGGGGAACCCUGAUCCAGCCAUGCCGCGUGUGUGAAGAAGGCCCUCGGGUUGUAAAGCACUUUCAGUGAGGAAGAACGCCUGGUGGUUAAUACCCAUCAGGAAAGAGAUCACUCACAGAAGAAGCACCGGCUAACUCCGUGCCAGCAGCCGCGGUAAUACGGAGGGUGCGAGCGUUAAUCGGAAUUACUGGGCGUAAAGCGCGCGUAGGUGGCUUGAUAAGCCGGUUGUGAAAGCCCCGGGCUCAACCUGGGAACGGCAUCCGGAACUGUCAAGCUAGAGUGCAGGAGAGGAAGGUAGAAUUCCCGGUGUAGCGGUGAAAUGCGUAGAGAUCGGGAGGAAUACCAGUGGCGAAGGCGGCCUUCUGGACUGACACUGACACUGAGGUGCGAAAGCGUGGGUAGCAAACAGGAUUAGAUACCCCAGUAGUC